GAUUAAUCACAAAUCAAUGUGUUUUUCCCAUUUUGUAGAAGCAAGAUGUUGCUAGGGUGUCAUCUUCAGCAGCUUACCCCCAUAGUUUUGAGGCAGUCUUGAAGUAGACCUGGAACUCCAGGACUCAGGCCAUCACAUUUUUCGCCCCCUUUAAUGUGAACAGUGGGGAUUGAACUUUAGUCCUGAUAGGUCUUGGUUCUUCUAUGGUGAACUGAACCCCAUUGUCCCUAGGUGACUAGCUUUUGUGAACUUAAUGUAUAUCCUGUUAAUUUUUUAUGUACUGGUGGCUUUAUUUACUGUUAGAGUACUAAUCCAAGGGUUUUUUUGGGGUGGGGCACAGGUAAGUGCUUCACCACUUAACAUCUCCAGGUCACAUUUUAUAUGUAUUGCUUAAAUGUCUUCCAGGACAGCCAGGGUUAUACAGAGAAACCCUGUCUGGAAUAACCAAAAAGAAAAGAAAAAGUCUUCACAUGCUUAUUUAUUGGCAAGAUCUCAUUACAUAUUCCUGCCUGACCUAGAACACAGUGUUUAGACCAAGCUGACCUUAAGCUCACAGAAUUAUUUAAUCUGUCUCUGCCUCCAAUUUGCUCAGCUAUUUUGUAAACAUUAUUAGUAUCACUUAAAGUUACCAUAUCUUUUUUGUUUUUGUUUUCCAGGCAGGGUUUCUCUGUCCUGGAUUUGGCUCUGUAGACUAGAUUGGUCUCUGCAAUUUUUUUAAAAGACUGCCAUGGCUGGAGAUUUUUAUGGGUGAUAAUAAAAGAUAGAAAACUUUAUUUGACAUAACAAAUCUAAAUGCUGAGGGACCAGGCACUUUAGCACAUUUUAUAAGACCCCUCUUAAAUUUCAUUUAUAAGAUGAACCUUGGUUACUUUUGGGGGAACUACAGGUAAUGGUCCUUAAACAGAUAAAUAUUUAUGUGAAAGAAAAGAUGGCAAGUACAUGUGCAGAAUGUCAAAGGACAUUUUACUAGCAUGCUGUAUUUCCUGGGGACAUUGUAUUUAGAUGACAGUUACUUUUUGUUUUGUUUUUGUUUUUUGAUUUCCCUUAGUCAAGAUUUCUCUAUAGCCCUUGCCAUCCUGAAACUUGCUUUGUAGGCCAGGCUGGUCUUAAAAUCAGAUUUGCCAGCCUCUGCUACCCAGCAGUGUGCAGUGUUUCCUUUUCCUUCUCCUAAAGCUCAUAAGUGUUGUUGAAUACUUGACUCCACUUAGCCAUUUUAGAGUUUUGGUGAUGGUGAUGACUGCCUGGAAUUGAGACACUAUUUCUUAUUUUGUAUGCAACAUAGAGUAUUUAUUAUAUUUCUUACUUAAAAUUUCUGUCAUUUAUCUGUCAGAAGUAAGGUGUAGGCAAGAAGGUUAGUGUGUAAGGUGCUUACUGCGAAGCCUGUCAGCUUCAGUUUGAUUACCCAGACAGAACUCAGAUGAUGGAAAGAGAACUCUAUUGGCCUUUAAUGUCUACAUGUAAGAAAACCAUGCAUGCUAGAAUGCAGCCUGAAAUCUUUUGAAAACGCUAUUGAAUUAGUCCCUGAAAAUUUUUUUUCCUUUUAAGAUUUAUUUAUUAUAUGUAAGUACACUGUAGCUGUCUUCAGACACACCAGAAGAGGGAGUCAGAUCUCAUUAUGGAUGGUUGUGAGCCACCAUGUGGUUGCUGGGAUUUGAGCUCAGGACCUUUGGAAGAGCAGUCCGGUGCUCUUACUGCUGAGCCAUCUCACCAGCCCGUCCCUGACAAUUUUAAUAGCAAUGGGCUAUAUCUGUGUUCUUUGAAACAUACAGAAAAACAUUCACUGAGAAAUUAGUUUGUCAUUAGGAAAGAUGAAAAAUACUAGACCCAAAUUAAAGGUUCUUUAGUUCUUUUCAAAAGGAUAGGGGUCUAUAAAUUACUAUUAUGAAAGGACAUCAGUGGGUAUUCUGUCAAACCAACUCCAUUGUCAUCUUAAGAGGUUUUGGUUUUACAUAGUCUUUAGAGUGAGAACUCUGGUUCAAACAUAAAAUUCCAGGAUCCUAAGUAUUCAGAAUUCCAGUAUUCAGGCCAGCUUGGCUAGACUGGAGCUCUCUUGAAGAAACCAAAACUUAAGAAAGUUGGACUUUCUUAGUGUUCUAUGUUGUGCUGUCUGGUUUAUCAUCAUCACCAUCCAGUAUUAAUAUUCUAGAUGUAAAAAUUGGUUUUAGAGUAAUUGUACUCGAUGGAUAGAUGGCUUUAUACUUUGUAGCAUAUGCUAAGUCCAAGUGAAUAUCUUGACUAGUUGGAAAUAUUUGCCUUUGUAUAUUGAGUAUAGUUGAAAGAUGAAGAAUGUUUCAGGGUAGAAUUUGGGGUGGUCUAUUUUGAGAAAACUUAAGACUUUAUUUAAUAUUUUAGAAUUAACUAUAGUAUUCUAACUACCAGGAAGACCAAAAAGGCUGAAAAGGUAGUUAAAGGUUUUAAGGAAUUAGAAUUUGG
rnacentral:lncRNA from 1 species